GUCAUUAGUUGCUACGAUUCAGUUGGGCACUCUAAUGAGACUGCCGGUGACAAACCGGAGGAAGGUGGGGAUGACGUCAAGUCCUCACUGGCCCUUAUAGGUGGGCUACACACGUCAUACAGUGGAUGGUACAAAGGUCGCCAACCCGCGAGGGGAGCCAAUCCCAUAAAGCCAUUCGUAGUCCGGAUCGCAGUCUGCAACUCGACUGCGUGAAGUCGGAAUCGCUAGUAAUCGUGGAUCAGAAUGUCACGGUGAAUACGUUCCCGGGUCUU
rnacentral:rRNA from 1 species